UAUGAAUUGAGCAGAAGGAAACAAAGUUCUGCAGAUAAACACCAAUGAAACAAAAAACCACGAAUAAGAAAAAUGACAGAAAAGGAGAACCUUCCCAGAAUCCUCCUGCCAGUGAACGGUCACCAGAGCAAGAGCAUGGAGUCCCUGGGUUUUGAACUGUGAGAUAAGGAAGAUGAUGAAAACCUCCCUAGCAGCCAGAGACAGGGUCUUGUUGUGUUGCCCAGGCUGGACUCAAACUCCUGGGUUCAAAUGAUUCUUCUGCCUCAGUCUCCCGAGUAGCUGAGACUACAGCCAGGUACUAUUCUAGAUUGUCUUGUGAUAUUUACAAUCUAGGAGAAGGCAGGAGAGAGAACUAAGAACAGAGAGCAUGUUCUGAGAUGUCUGCUGUGUUUGCAGACUUAGAUUUUUGGCUGGACUAUUGGCUUGGGAUAGAUGAAAAUCAUUCCUUGUAUCCCCUGAUCUUAAAGUCAAGACUGAACCAGCCUCCAGAUGCAAGCCUUCAUGGGGCUUCAGAUACCAUGAGGAAUGGGCGUCCCUGCAAUAUUGUCAUGGCUGUCAAAAGUGUUAUUGGAGCUGGAAACUCCUGGAGGGCAGAGCCAUGCCUGCCAUUUUCAUCAUUGCAUUACCACCACCCAGCACAGUGCCUGGUACAAAAGAGUUGCUCAAUAAAUAAAUCAGGAUGAAUGGACAAAUACACGGAUAGGCACUUUGAACUACAGAUGAGCUUAAAUACUUUGUGUUUUUCUUAGUCAAACAUGUGCAAUUAAGCAUGUGAUAAAUUAUAUGAUGACCACAC
rnacentral:lncRNA from 10 species